rnacentral:lncRNA from 1 species
AUGAAGGUCAUUCUCAGCAAUCACACCAUCAGCAUUCCAGAAAGCAUCAGCCUCACUAGGAAGGGACAUACAGGGAUUGGGAAGGGUCCCAGAAGAACCCUGUGGAGGGAUUUGCAUCACAUCAAUGCUGAACUCUGUCUCCUUAGAAAGGAAAGGAAGAGGCUCCAGGCUGACAAAGGGUGGGAGGUAGGAAGGAACUGGCCACACUGCCUGUAGUCGGGGUGCUCCCCUGGGCUUCUGAUACAUCAUCAGGGUUUGGAUGAGACCAGGCAUUUCUUGUUCAAUAUCUCAAGCCCAGAAAGAUGAGUGAUCAGUUAAUUCUUGAAGGAAACAAUAUUAAGCAUUGUUAUCAAAUUCAGGCUGCCACUUUGAUUCUACAGGUCACAACAAGGACAGCAAAAAAAAUUUUGGAUGGUAUUUAAGUCUCCAAAAAAAGAAAAGUUCCGUAGGCUGAGG